GAUGAACGCUGGCUACAGGCUUAACACAUGCAAGUCGAGGGGAAACGCCGGGGAAGCUUGCUUCCCCGGGCGUCGACCGGCGGACGGGUGAGUAACGCGUAUCCAACCUGCCUCUGACUGAGGGAUAACCCGUCGAAAGUCGGCCUAAUACCUCAUGGCAUCGUCUGCGGGCAUCCAACGACGAUUAAAGAUUUCAGCGGUCAGGGAUGGGGAUGCGUCUGAUUAGCUAGUUGGCGAGGUAACGGCCCACCAAGGCGACGAUCAGUAGGGGUUCGGAGAGGAAGCUCCCCCACAUUGGAACUGCGACCCGGACCAAUCUCCUACGCGAGGCAGCAGUGAGGAAUAUUGGGCGAUGAGCGAGGGCCUGAACCAGCCAAGUAGCGUGCAGGAUGACGGCCCUCUGGGUUGUAAGCUGCUUUUAUGCGGGGAUAAAGUGAGGGACGUGUCCUUCAUUGCAGGUACCGAAUGAAUAAGGACCGGCUAAUUCCGUG
rnacentral:rRNA from 1 species